rnacentral:rRNA from 1 species
GUGUGUGUGAAGAAGGCCUGCGGGUUGUAAAGCACUUUCAGUGGGGAAGAGGGGUUUUGAGUUGAUAAGGCUCGAAGCUUGACGUUACCCAAAGAAGAAGCACCGGCUAACUCCGUGCCAGCAGCCGCGGUAAUACGGAGGGUGCGAGCGUUAAUCGGAAUUACUGGGCGUAAAGCGCGCGUAGGCGGUUGAAUAAGUCAGAUGUGAAAGCCCUGGGCUUAACCUGGGAAUGGCAUUUGAGACUGUUCGGCUAGAGUCUGUCAGAGGGUGGCGGAAUUCCGGGUGUAGCGGUGAAAUGCGU